rnacentral:lncRNA from 1 species
UUCUGCAGCUUUUCUCCAGAGGCACCUGCCAGAUCUCUAUCCCUGCUCAAACUCUCACUGCAGUGGCUGUGCACUGCUGUGGAUUUCUAGGAUAAAAUGUGACCCAGUAAAAUGCAUCUGCAAGUGGUAGAAGCAGGAAUGUUUGGGUUUUUUUUUCCUAACAUAAGUAAUUAUGCAGAGCUCAAGAUCCUUAGAAAAGCUGUGUUCUGGUAUGUUUGACACAAUCUGUACUGUGUUUUUAACUUUGAAUGUAGCUGUUAAUAUUACCUGCAGUAAAAUAUACCUGUUUUACUGAAGUGCUCAAUUAUGGGGUGUUUUAGUCACAUUUUUCUAACAUUUUCAGAUCUGCCUGAAUAGAGGGCAGCUGGCAUUGUUAAUUUCAUUAAGAAGAACACUUGAGACUGGCUGCUUGUUAUUAUGUUAAUUAUGUGUCCAAGCAGAAACUGGGAAGAUAAAUACCAGGAUACUUGGUUCCCUACUGCACUUGCAGUUAUCCAAUAUUUCAGUAUUUCCUAAAGAAGCCAAAGGAGGCCCACAAGUGUUGGUGAGAGAAGGAGGCAUUGUGUUGAACGAGAAGGUGUCAUAUCCCUCUGGAAUUGCUUCUCUGAUUCCCACUUUACCCAGCCAAGAGGAGCCCACUGUGUGGCAACCUCUGUGGAAAAUUUACUGAAGCAAAAGCCUGGAGGUCCUUGGCAGCUGAGCUAGGGGCUGUACGCACGUAAUAAGACAAGUGGUCUUCUCUGCAGUUCAAGAAGAGAGAAACAAGAGCUGGAAACCAAGAAGCAUUGUAUAAAGCACAGUAUGUGCUUGAUGAAGAGCAAUGGCCUGGAAUAAAAAGUUGUUUGCAGAUUGGGAUGUGCCACUCUGAAGAGAAAGGGAGGCAGGAGGAUGUACUUCUGUUCAACAGCCCAUCCUUUAGUCGAAUGCAGGAAGAGCACAGCGCCUCCAAAACGGCUGAGCGUUGCUGUACACAGAGCAUGUGUUGGGAGAGCAGAGCAUCAGCUGGCCCUAAGUACAUCAGCUGGAAUUAGGUGGCUGUGGAGUGAGUAAGAUUGAAAUUCAGAGGCA